rnacentral:rRNA from 1 species
CCCCCAGACUCCUACGGGAGGCAGCAGUCGGGAAUAUUGCGCAAUGGAGGAAACUCUGACGCAGUGACGCCGCGUAUAGGACGAAGGUCUUCGGAUUGUAAACUAUUGUCGUUAGGGAAGAGAAAGGACAGUACCUAAGGAGGAAGCUCCGGCUAACCACGUGCCAGCAGCCGCGGUAAUACGUAGGUGGCAAGCGUUGUCCGGAUUUACUGGGUGUAAAGGGAGCGCAGGCGGGAAGCCAAGUCAGCUGUGAAAACUACGGGCUUAACUUGUAGACUGCAGUUGAAACUGGUUUUCUUGAGUGAAGUAGAGGUUGGCGGAAUUCCGAGUGUAGCGGUGAAAUGCGUAGAUAUUCGGAGGAACACCGGUGGCGAAGGCGGCCAACUGGGCUUUAACUGACGCUGAGGCUCGAAAGUGUGGGGAGCAAACAGGAUUAGAUACCCUGGUACGG